CGGCCUGAGGUCGGACGAGGCUACCCGCUGAAUUUAAGCAUAUUACUAAGCGGAGGAAAAGAAACUAACGAGGAUUCCCUCAGUAACGGCGAGUGAAGCGGGUCGAGCCCAGCGCCGAAUCCGGCCGCUUAUGGAGCGGACGGAAUUGUGGCGUAUGGAAUUCGCUUCGAGCGCGGACCGGCUGCCCACGUCCUUCUGAUCGAGCCGUCA
rnacentral:ncRNA from 1 species